GUUUACGGCUACCCUGAACGUGUCUGAUCCUGUCUGAUCUCGGAAGCUAAGCAGGGUCAGGCCUGGUUAGUACUUGGAUGGGAGACCACCUAGGACCACCUAGGAAGACCAGGUGCUGUAGGCA
ensembl:rRNA 5S_rRNA 5S ribosomal RNA